UAAAUUCGCCUUGGUAAAUGCAUGGAAACCAAAAGUGAAAAAUGAACUGGUUCGGAAUUGCACAACGGGGUCAUGGUAACCCCGGACAGCCUCGAACAUUCUUUUGACAUUCCUCCUUGCACUGCGGCAAAUUCCCGGUGGAAGAGUAACGGAACCAGUCCAAAUGACGCAGUGCCCGUUAUUCUUCCAACGGGAAUAACUAAUUUCCCGCAGUGCAAAGGUAUAAAAACCCGCUGGCAACCCCACGAUCGGCCAUUUGUAUGUCAUUCAACAGCGAAGUGCGGAACAGCCGGAAAAAAAUGAAACAUAUAUUUUCAUUCAGCCGGUUAAAGUGAAGCAGUGAAAAAAUAAAACAAUUUCAAUUAAAAUUAAAAGAAAAGUGUCUAAAAAGAACAGUUAAAUCGCUCUAACGCGAUAAAGUGGAAAAAAGGAAAAUAAAUUUAAAACAAUAGAAAAACCAAAAACGAAAACAAUUUUUUUUUUUGCUAAAACGUGCAGUGCAGGAAGCGGGGAGUUUUGAGCAGCUAAGGCGCAUCCCGUAUCCGUGCACCAUCGGGACAACGACACCUUUACCUCAACAGCGGCAAGCUGCGAGAACGAGCUCGCAGUUGCCUUUUGCUCGCCCGCCAGAAGCGCCCAGAGGAACCAGCGUGCUCCACAAUUUCGCGUCAGCGCGCCCAAGCCCGACCGACGCACUACUAUUGUGCGCCGGAAGCUCCAUCGCACUCCACGCUCCCUCCGCAGCCGCAGCACCACGGCAACACCAAGGAAACCAAUCUGGCGCUCCAGCAGCACACACAUCCAUUUGUCCGCAACCGCAGGGUGGCAAAUACAACGCACAGUCCUCUAUCUGCUAACACUGGAUUAGGUACUGCCCCAGUCCGCACACCGCCCAGCACGGUAUCCACGACGCCGCCACAGUAGCGGCUACUGUAACAGCGCACACGUAACACGCGCUAUAGGAAGCAGCAAGAACCGCCACAGUAGCGAGUACAGCAGCGCGCUACAGCGACAAAUAAAACGCGCAACAACGUGCGCAGGCAACAACAUCCGCCACAGCAGCGGGUGCAACAACGCGCGGAAGCAACACCGCGCCAUCGACAACAACAACCGCCACAGCAGGGUGCAACAACGCGCGACUACAGCACCGCGCUACAGCGACAAAUAAAACGCGCAACAACGUGCGCAGGCAACAACAUCCGCCACAGCAGCGGGUGCAACAACGCGCGGAAGCAACACCGAGCCAUCCACAACAACAACCGCCACAGCAGCGGGUGCAACAAUGCCCGCCACAGCAGCGUGGACAACAGCGCGCAACACCAACAACAACAGCGCACAACGCUAACAGCAACAGCGCACAACGCUAACAGCAACAGCGCUCAACACCAGCAACAACAGCGCACAACCCCAGCGACUACAACAACAGCAGGCCACAUCCAAGCCUGCUGCAACAAGGGUGAGUCCUUCGGGCCUAAACUAAGUUUUUUUUUCAAUAAAAAAAAAUAAUAAUAAAUAAUACUAAAAAAAAAAA